GACGAACGCUGGCGGCGUGCUUAACACAUGCAAGUCGAGCGGUAAGGCCCUUUUGGGGGUACGACGAGCGGCGAACGGGUGAGUAACACGUGGGUGACCUGCCCUCAGCUCUGGGAUAAGCCUGGGAAACUGGGUCUAAUACUGGAUAUGACCUUUCCUCGCAUGGGGUUGGGUGGAAAGUUUUUCGGCUGGGAGUGGGCCCGCCGGCCUAUCAGCUUGUUGGUGGGGUGAUGGCCUACCAAGGCGACGACGGGUAGCCGGCCUGAGAGGGCGACCGGCCACACUGGGACUGAGACACGGCCCAGACUCCUACGGGAGGCAGCAGUGGGGAAUAUUGCGCAAUGGGCGGAAGCCUGACGCAGCGACGCCGCGUGGGGGAU
rnacentral:rRNA from 1 species